rnacentral:lncRNA from 1 species
CCUUAGUGGGAGUUGAAUACAGUUAACCCAUGAUUGGGUAACUGACCACAACGCGUCAGUUCCUUUCCUUUAUUAUUAUAUGUAUUCUUUUCUUUUCAUUAUCUGUUAAGUCUGGAAAAGCAAAACAGAGAGGGAGAGAAAGAGAGAGUUUGAGAAUUCAGAGGAAUUGUUGGGAGAUUUUGAUAUUGAAGAAGAAUCAAAAGGGACUUCACUCUUAUUCAUCUGUAAUAGGGUAAUCUCUUCUCGCCAAAUUUUAAAUUACGUUGUUUAAGUUUUCAUAAAAAAAAAUGGAUUCAAGUUUUGUUAAAAACACUGUGAAUGGAAAAGGGUAUGACUAUGGGUUUGUGUAUGUGUUAAGAUGUAU